rnacentral:lncRNA from 1 species
ACGUUCACUGCAACGGUGAAACUUUUGAGUCUGAGCUUCAUGGUUUUUAUUUUCGAAACACUGAUACCAUUAGAAUCACGAUCAAGAGAAAUGCAACCUUUUUGCAUUUGAAAAAAAGAAUACAAUCCUUUAUAGGAUCGGGUAUUGUGUCAAAGAUCACAUAUCAAAAUCCAAUAUUUUUUUAGAAUGGUCAAUGCAA